CAGUAGCCGCGGUAAUGCGUAGGUCCCGAGCGUUGUCCGGAUUUAUUGGGCGUAAAGCGAGCGCAGGCGGUUAGAUAAGUCUGAAGUUAAAGGCUGUGGCUUAACCAUAGUACGCUUUGAAAACUGUUUAACUUGAGUGCAAGAGGGGAGAGUGGAAUUCCAUGUGUAGCGGUGAAAUGCGUAGAUAUAUGGAGGAACACCGGUGGCGAAAGCGGCUCUCUGGCUUGUAACUGACGCUGAGGCUCGAAAGCGUGGGGAGCAAACAGGAUUAGAUACCCGUGUAGUCCCUGUCUCUUAUACA
rnacentral:rRNA from 1 species